rnacentral:rRNA from 1 species
AGUGAACGCUGGCGGUAGGCCUAACACAUGCAAGUCGAACGGCAGCACAGUAAGAGCUUGCUCUUACGGGUGGCGAGUGGCGGACGGGUGAGGAAUACAUCGGAAUCUACUUUUUCGUGGGGGAUAACGUAGGGAAACUUACGCUAAUACCGCAUACGACCUACGGGUGAAAGCAGGGGAUCUUCGGACCUUGCGCGAUUGAAUGAGCCGAUGUCGGAUUAGCUAGUUGGCGGGGUAAAGGCCCACCAAGGCGACGAUCCGUAGCUGGUCUGAGAGGAUGACCAGCCACACUGGAACUGAGACACGGUCCAGACCCCUACGGGGGGCAGAAGUGGGGAAUAUUGGAAAAGGGGCGCAAGCCUGAUCCAGCCAUACCGCGUGGGUGAAGAAGGCCUUCGGGUUGUAAAGCCCUUUUGUUGGGAAAGAAAAGAAGCAGGUUAAUACCCCGCUGUUCUGACGGUACCCAAAGAAUAGGCACCGGCUAACGUCG